ACACGGGCCUGGGGCUUUGUUAGAAACCAAAUACUGUACGGACCUAUCUCAUUCAGUCGUUACAGCAUUAACAGUAGGUCCAGUGACAAACUAAAAUAGUUUUUCAUUCCUGCUAGAAGAAAUACUGUAAAUGAAGAUAGGCAAAUACUGGCUAAGAAACAGUAAGUAAAAGAUCUAAACUUCAGAUUAUCGUAGACUCUUCAGUGGGAUUUAUUGGCGUAUUUUGUUCUAUUUAAGAGGGAAUCAAGCAAUAAUUUCAAAUGAGGUACUGCAUAAUAGCUAAAGAAAAUACUUAAAAGAGUAAUGUAACAGUGGUAUUAAAAACAUCUUAAAAAAGAAAACUAAUAUUGCCAACUCACCACAUUUGUACAACUGUGUAAAUUUUUUCUGUUUACACACACACACACAUAUAUUUUUUUUGCUCAGGGCUAAUCUUCCUCAAAAAAAAAAAAGGCAAUUUCAUAACAUAUUUAUUCAAGUUGCAAAAGUGUUCUGGUACGCUAAAAAUCUCUUUUCUUAAACCCCUUUUCACUCAUGGAACUCUUACUUUCCUGUAUUUUAAUCACAGUUCCCAAAGAUUUUUCUGCUAGAAGCUAAAAUGGAUUUUUCCCUGAAAUAUCAUCAUAAAAUCCUAUGAAAUAUUUCAGUGAUAUGAGUCAUUCACUUAUUCAUAUGGGUAGACAUUUAGAUAAUAGAAGUAGCUAACAGAAAUCUGUGAGAAAUACAUUAAUUCCUGUGGAGGAGGGAGGAAGAAGUCCUACUGAUGUAUUUUAGGUGUAGUUAAAUUCAAUGUUCCCUGCCAUUUUAAAUUAUCAAAAUUAUUCUGUUUUGCUCCUUUCUCUCCAAGAGGCUACAUAAAAUUACUUAGACACAGAAAAUCAUGAAUCAUUUUUUUGCUGUUAACGUCUUCUGCAUUCUGUUUCACGAGCAUAGCGAUCAGUGGUCAAGAAUGUCCUUAUUCUUAUCAACCUUCUACUUACUACCCAAGUAAGACUUACCACCGCACAACAGAAUGUUUAGUAGCAGUUUUGUUAAAGUCUAACAUCUUUGCUGUAUUACUGAAACUGACAAGAAACAGAUUGUUAUAAAAAAAAGUUGGCGUCUCUGGAAAUCCUACGUGCCAUAGGUCAGUUGAUAUUGAGCAUACAGGUUCUGACGGCAUUCAUACGUAAUCAGAAAACUGGUACAUUUCAAACUCUUAGCAAUUCCUGCUAUUAAACAAAGGUCAGUAUAGUUUUCAGUAAUAAAAACCUAGUUCAUAUAUUUUAAGUUUUGAAGUUUUAUAAAAUCUUUAACAUACUUUAAAACAAAAGUACCUAAUUUGAGAAGUCCAAUUUUUGUGAUGGGUGGUCUGUGUGCUGUGAAGAAACUAUUAUGUUUUAUGCUUUAGCUCUGAAGUUCACUGUUUUUGGGAGAGGAGGGAUGUGUAAAGCCAAUUUUAGAAGGAACUACAGAAUUGAAGAAUUUUUAUUCUUCAAAAACAUGUGCUUUUCAAGCUAAAUUGUCUACCCCAUUGCUAUACCCAUACACAGAGAGACAUUAUCGUGAAUAACUCCGGGUUUGUAUUGUCUACUCUCAUGGUUUAAUGGGAAAAAUCUUUUCUCUUAUCGUUCGUGAGGAAGGCAGCUGUUUUCUUGUCUCCCACAGGAAACUAUUAUAGAUUACUGAGUAUUUAAAUUUAAUCCCUCCAGGUUGUAUCUUGGGUAUAUGGUAUUCCUCUCUUUAUAAGUGUAAUUUCUUCUUGAAAAAUGCUUUUUAUUGGGUAUAGCCUAGUAUAAGGAGAUUAUUGUUGAUUUUGUUGAAUAUGCUAACAAUAUUGUGGUUAUGUAGCAAAAUGUUCUUAUCUUUUAGAGAUAUAUACUAAAGUAUUUAGGAGUUAAAUGUCAUCAUUACUGUAAUUUUCUUUAAAAUUCUUUAGCAUAAGAGUAAUAUGAGAAGAUAAGGUGAAAUAGAAGCUGUUACAUCUAAUUAUAGGUAUUUGUGUAUUCAUCAUGCCAUUCUCUAUAUUGUAUGUUUGCAAUUUCUAUAAUGAAGAGAAAAAAUUAUGACUUUCAAUAAAAAUGAAAAAAAUGUACGAGAUUUGUGGGCUAUAUAGCUGCUUUCUGCAAAUGAGAGGUUUUUUGUUUUAUGAACUAAUUUUGAUGAAUGUGUAUUCUUUCCAAUAAUUUUUAACUUCUUUCUUAAAAUGUUUAUUCAUACAGCUGUAAAGCAUGGAAUGCUCUCUUGCACAGUAAGGCUUUUUUUUUCCCAGGUAGUUUGAUAAUUUUUAAUCAUUAAAUACAUAUCCCUAAAACUGAGACCAAAGUUUGUAUCGUUAAAACUGAAACUGUUUCAGAUGAUAACACUUGCCUAAAAAUAUAAAGCUUAGAUUCCAGCCAUUUGUCUUUCAAUCACAUACAGAAAGUUUGUUUCAAAGACUUAAUACGUUCAAAUAUAUGCACUUGGUAUGAAAAUUUCCCGAUAGUCUUAAAUCUGAUUAAAACUCAGAAAUGUGUACAAAUACUGUGAAAAUACUGUUAGUGGUGUUGAGUCGAUUCCGACUCCUGGAGACCUGUGGACAGCAGAGCAGAACCCUGCCCCGUCUUUUUGUGCCAUCCUCUCUCCUUCUGGCCCUAUAUCAGCCAGUACUCUGCUGCUAGGCAAAGGGUUUUCAUGGCCAGUUUUUUCAGAAGUGAGUGGCCGGGUCCUUCUUCCUAGUGUGUCUGGAAGCUCCGCUGAAACCUGUCCACCAUGGGUGACCGUGUCUUAGUCUGGAAGCUCCGCUGAAACCUGUCCACCAUGAGUGAUGCUUUGGUCACCCUGACAUACCUGUGGCAGAGCUUUCAGCAUCACAGCAACAUGCAGCCACCACAGUAUGACAGCCAAGAUAGGUGGUGUGGUUCCCUAACUGGGAUAUGAACCUGAGCCGAGGCGAGCUCUGAAUGUUAACCACUAGACCAUCAGGGCUGGCUAUG
rnacentral:lncRNA from 1 species